GGAUCUGUGGUGUAGUGGUCCAACAUGUCUCCCUGUCACGGAGAAGAUCGAGGGUUCGAAUCCCUCCAGAUCCG
rnacentral:tRNA from 1 species